UUUUUUCUGCAACCCUUUGUCCUGAACUUGGGUUUUCAGAAAACCAAAAAGGAAGCUGAAUUUCCACCAGAGAAGAUGGCAUUGUAUUGGGAUAGCCUGUAGAAAUGUGCCUGUGUCAAGUUAUCUGCUUGCUUUAAAUGUCUCAUCAUUCCCCUUUUGUGGCCUUGUGCAGAUUAAGAAGACUUCUUAUUGGUUUACUUCGCAAGUUCUAGUAUCACAUAGCUUUAUAAUGGUGGACAUCAUUGAUAAUCAGUCUGUGAAUGACCUCUGAUGAAUAUAUGCUGAGGACAAGGAAUUGGUUGGAUAUGAGUUGCAAUAUCAUCACUAAUGAACACAAACAGCUGAACACAUCUGGUAGCUUCAACUGGAUUUCUUCAUUCCCUUGAAAUGGUAUUUUGAACACAAUUGGCUCAGUUCUCAUUGGAUGAAGCUAAUUUUUACAUUAAAAAGAGCAAACUUUUUUGAUAUUGCUGGAUUUGUUCCAUUAAUAAUUUUUUGAAUAAAAAUUGCAUUUGAUUUAA